GAUCUGGCUCAGGACGAACGCUGGCGGCGUGCCUAAUACAUGCAAGUCGAGCGGACGGAUGGGAGCUUGCUCCCUGAAGUCAGCGGCGGACGGGUGAGUAACACGUGGGCAACCUGCCUGUAAGACUGGGAUAACUUCGGGAAACCGGAGCUAAUACCGGAUAAUCCUUUUCCUCACAUGGGGAAAAGCUGAAAGACGGUUUCGGCUGUCACUUACAGAUGGGCCCGCGGCGCAUUAGCUAGUUGGUGAGGUAACGGCUCACCAAGGCCACGAUGCGUAGCCGACCUGAGAGGGUGAUCGGCCACACUGGGACUGAGACACGGCCCAGACUCCUACGGGAGGCAGCAGUAGGGAAUCUUCCGCAAUGGACGAAAGUCUGACGGAGCAACGCCGCGUGAGCGAAGAAGGCCUUCGGGUCGUAAAGCUCUGUUGUCAGGGAAGAACAAGUGCCGGAGUAACUGCCGGCACCUUGACGGUACCUGGCCAGAAAGCCACGGCUAACUACGUGCCAGCAGCCGCGGUAAUACGUAGGUGGCAAGCGUUGUCCGGAAUUAUUGGGCGUAAAGCGCGCGCAGGCGGUCCUUUAAGUCUGAUGUGAAAGCCCACGGCUCAACCGUGGAGGGUCAUUGGAAACUGGGGGACUUGAGUGCAGAAGAGGAGAGCGGAAUUCCACGUGUAGCGGUGAAAUGCGUAGAGAUGUGGAGGAACACCAGUGGCGAAGGCGGCUCUCUGGUCUGUAACUGACGCUGAGGCGCGAAAGCGUGGGGAGCGAACAGGAUUAGAUACCCUGGUAGUCCACGCCGUAAACGAUGAGUGCUAAGUGUUAGGGGGUUUCCGCCCCCUUAGUGCUGCAGCUAACGCAUUAAGCACUCCGCCUGGGGAGUAC
rnacentral:rRNA from 2 species